rnacentral:rRNA from 1 species
GACGGAGGGUGCGAGCGUUAUUCGGAUUUAUUGGGCGUAAAGAGAGUGUAGGCGGUCAGCCAAGUCUGAUGUGAAAGCCCGGGGCUUAACCUCGGAAGGGCGUUGGAAACUGGUUGACUUGAGUUCGGGAGAGGAAAGCGGAAUUCCGGGUGUAGAGGUGAAAUUCGUAGAUAUCCGGAGGAACACCGGUGGCGAAGGCGGCUUUCUGGACCGAAACUGACGCUGAGACUCGAAAGCGUGGGGAGCAAACAGG